UUUAAGCUCUUCAGAUUAACUGACCUGAUUUGAAACAAUAAAAAAUCAAACUAAAAUAGGUGAGGUACCUAGUCCACUCUCUAUUCUCUAUUCUUUUAAUAAACUUGGAGAAGAUUAUUCUUCCCCCUUUUACAUUUCAAAACAAAAAAAAGGAACACCCUAGCCAGCUGAUAACUGAGGGAGUUUUCUAUCAUACAGCGUUGGGAUUACAAUUUGGUUAAUCUCCCUCCGAACGUCUUCAACAACUAUUUUCAGAAAUCACCAAUUGAAUUCCAACCUACUCAGAUCAUUUAGCUGUCUAAUCAUAAAAGGUAGAUGCCAAACAUGGUGGAUACCUUCUGAUUUAAUAUUCUAUACUAGGCCAGAUUUACAUUUUGUUCCAAGGUUUCUUCCUAAAUAUGUUUCAAAUAAACUAAGUUUCAUAUCAGAUGCCAGGUAGGGGCCCCAAUUAUUGAAUAUUCUCUAGGCAGAGUUGGUCUUUGGCCUUGUCAGUGAAAGAAACUUUCAAAACUUUACACAUAUGAAGAGGUAUGAGACAUAGAUGUUAGGUAAAUAAUGUAGUUUGUCCAUAAUCUUCUUGAUCAUGGACAUGGUCAAUAAAUGGAUGUCAAGAGGAAGAAAAAGUAUUACAUUAGUGUAGAGUAUGGAUAAACAAAGAAGGGCCAAAAAGGCAAGGUCAGGAAAUCUAUACAAUAACAUUAAAGGGAGUCUAGUGGACUAAGCUCCAAUCAUUUCAUUGAGAAAACAAAGUACGUACUUGGAUUUAUUGUUGUUUGAUGAUGAUAAAAAGUUUUGUUUAACUAAUUGAGUGAGAUUGUCUAUCUCUUUUUGAUAUGUAUUUGUCUUCUGUCUUGGGAAACAUGGAGACCUUGAGAGGUUUGCAGUGUGAGACUUUAACACAUUGUAGCUAAAGAUGCUAGCAGUUUCUAAGGUGUGGACAUGCAAUAAUUGGGAAUAUAUCCUUUUUUUUUUUUUUGCCAUACCUGCAUACUCCCUAAAUGACUAAGUUAUCAUUUUAAAAUUCUAUUUUGGUGAAGCUAAGAAAGCAAUCUGAUAACUUGGAUUUUUCUUUCUUUCUUUUUUUUUUUUCUAUUUCUAUUUACAUGAAACCUGAUGGAGUAUUAACGUGAUAACCUGUUGCCACACAUUAGCUGCAUCUAUUUUCUAAUAAUUUUUUUCAUUAUUUUUUUGUUUUUUGACAAAGACUUCACAUGCCAGUUCAUGCAUAGACUCA
rnacentral:lncRNA from 1 species